AGUGAACGCUGGCGGUAGGCCUAACACAUGCAAGUCGAACGGCAGCACAGUAAGAGCUUGCUCUUACGGGUGGCGAGUGGCGGACGGGUGAGGAAUACAUCGGAAUCUACUUUUUCGUGGGGGAUAAUGUAAGGAAACUUACGCUAAUACCGCAUACGACCUACGGGUGAAAGCAGGGGAUCUUCGGACCUUGCGCGAUUGAAUGAGCCGAUGUCGGAUUAGCUAGUUGGCGGGGUAAAGGCCCACCAAGGCGACGAUCCGUAGCUGGUCUGAGAGGAUGAUCAGCCACACUGGAACUGAGACACGGGCCAGACGCCUACGGGAGGGAGCAGUGGGGAAUAUUGGACAAUGGGGGCAAGCCUGAUCCAGCCAGACCGCGUGGGUGAAGAAGGCCUUCGGGUUUUAAAGCCCUUUUGUUGGGAAAGAAAAGCAGCAGGUUAAUACCCCGCUGUUCUGACGGUACCCAAAGAAUAAGCACCGGCUAACUUCGUG
rnacentral:rRNA from 1 species